rnacentral:rRNA from 1 species
UACGUAGGGGGGCAAGCGUUGUCCGGAUUUAUUGGGCGUAAAGAGCGUGUAGGCGGCCAGGUAGGUCAGCUGUGAAAACUCGAGGCUCAACCUCGAGACGCCGGUUGAAACCAUCUCGCUAGAGUAUGGGAGAGGGAAGCAGAAUUCCUGGUGUAGAGGUGAAAUUCGUAGAUAUCAGGAGGAAUACCUGCGGCGAAGGCGGCUUCCUGGCCCAUUACUGACGUUCAGGUACGAAAGCGUGGGUAGCAAACAGG